rnacentral:tRNA from 1 species
GCGGUGACGGGCGCCGAGGCCCGGGCCACGGCGCGGCCUUCGGCGUCGCGGACGGUGGUCGUCAGCUCGGCGCCGCCGGCACCGCUC